GAUGAACGCUGGCGGCGUGCCUAAUACAUGCAAGUCGAGCGAACAGAUGAGGAGCUUGCUCCUCUGACGUUAGCGGCGGACGGGUGAGUAACACGUGGAUAACCUACCUAUAAGACUGGGAUAACUUCGGGAAACCGGAGCUAAUACCGGAUAAUAUAUUGAACCGCAUGGUUCAAUAGUGAAAGACGGUUUUGCUGUCACUUAUAGAUGGAUCCGCGCCGCAUUAGCUAGUUGGUAAGGUAACGGCUUACCAAGGCAACGAUGCGUAGCCGACCUGAGAGGGUGAUCGGCCACACUGGAACUGAGACACGGUCCAGACUCCUACGGGAGGCAGCAGUAGGGAAUCUUCCGCAAUGGGCGAAAGCCUGACGGAGCAACGCCGCGUGGUGGAUGAAGGUCUUCGGAUCGUAAAACUCUGUUAUUAGGGAAGAGCAAAUGUGUAAGUAACUAUGCACGUCUUGACGGUACCUAAUCAGAAAGCCACGGCUAACUACGUG
rnacentral:rRNA from 1 species